rnacentral:rRNA from 1 species
AUUGAACGCUGGCGGCAGGCCUAACACAUGCAAGUCGAACGGUAGCAGUAAGAAGCUUGCUUCUUUGCUGACGAGUGGCGGACGGGUGAGUAAUGUCUGGGAAACUGCCUGAUGGAGGGGGAUAACUACUGGAAACGGUAGCUAAUACCGCAUAACGUCGCAAGACCAAAGAGGGGGACCUUCGGGCCUCUUGCCAUCGGAUGUGCCCAGAUGGGAUUAGCUAGUAGGUGGGGUAACGGCUCACCUAGGCGACGAUCCCUAGCUGGUCUGAGAGGAUGACCAGCCACACUGGAACUGAGACACGGUCCAGACUCCUACGGGAGGCAGCAGUGGGGAAUAUUGCACAAUGGGCGCAAGCCUGAUGCAGCCAUGCCGCGUGUAUGAAGAAGGCCUUCGGGUUGUAAAGUACUUUCAGCGGGGAGGAAGGGAGUAAAGUUAAUACCUUUGCUCAUUGACGUUACCCGCAGAAGAAGCACCGGCUAACUCCGUG